AAUUAUUGUUUUUGUCUGUUUAAUUUUCAAUUGAUUUUUAUUUCUUUUAUUUUCUAUUUUUGCUUCUUAUUUCUGAAAAUAUCUGCUCUUUACAUUGUUCUACUAUAUAUUUUUCUGUUGAGUUUUUUCAUGUUUUUUUCUCUCUUUCUUUUAAAAGAAAUAUCACGUCUGUAAUCCCAUUGUAAGAAUGGUGGAUGUUCUAUCUAAUACCAUUGUGUUUCCAUGAGUAAUGCCUUUUAUGGUAUAUGGUGUUUUAUAGCAGUGUGUUAACAUUUCUUAAAAUUCUGAUUCUUAUCUUUAAGGUGGACCCAAGAGUGUCUGAAGAGAAGUGGAGUGGAGAGAAAAGUAUGUCUGUAGCUGCUCAGGAAAGAGACCCAGAACCAGGAAAGUCAUAUUAGUAACUGGAAUGAACACACCAGCAAUGAGAGAAUACAAACUUCCUGAUAAUAAUAAUAGUAGAAUGUAUAAGUUUUACAAACAUUGCAGCAAGUUUGUUACAGGAAAUUAAUGGAUACUCUGUGGGUCAGAGUAAACCCA
rnacentral:lncRNA from 12 species